rnacentral:sRNA from 3 species
AAGGAUGAGAAGCUUCGACUAAGGUUCGAUUCGAGCGUCAGCGAGAAAGCGUUGCCGCAGGCAACGACCCGAAGGGCGAAGCGCGCAGCGCUGAGUCAUCCUUCCCCCACCACCA